UACGUAGGGACCAAGCGUUGUCCGGAUUUAUUGGGCGUAAAGAGCUCGUAGGCGGCCCUCCACGUCGGAUGUGAAAGCUCAGGGCUCAACCCUGAGAUGCCAUUCGAUACGGGAAGGCUAGAGGUAGGUAGGGGAAAGUGGAAUUCCUGGUGUAGCGGUGAAAUGCGCAGAUAUCAGGAAGAACACCGAUGGCGAAGGCAGCUCUCUGGGACGGUACUGACGCUGAGACGCGAAAGCGUGGGGAGCGAACAGG
rnacentral:rRNA from 1 species